rnacentral:rRNA from 1 species
AGAGUUUGAUCCUGGCUCAGGACGAACGCUGGCGGCGUGCUUAACACAUGCAAGUCGAGCGAGGCCCUUCCUUCGGGAAGGAGCCCUAGCGGCGAACGGGUGAGUAACACGUGGGCAACCUGCCCCUAGCACUGGGAUAACUCCGGGAAACCGGGACUAAUACCGGAUAUGACCUUCGAGGGCAUCCUUGAAGGUGUAAA